UACGUAGGGGGCAAGCGUUGUCCGGAAUCAUUGGGCGUAAAGAGCGUGUAGGCGGCCAGACAAGUCUGCUGUGAAAACUCGAGGCUCAACCUCGAGCUGUCGGUGGAAACUGUCUGGCUAGAGUCCGGAAGAGGAGAGUGGAAUUCCUGGUGUAGCGGUGAAAUGCGCAGAUAUCAGGAAGAACACCCGUGGCGAAGGCGGCUCUCUGGGACGGUACUGACGCUGAGACGCGAAAGCGUGGGGAGCGAACAGG
rnacentral:rRNA from 1 species